UCAUAUUUCUCUUUUUGCCACUUGCUGCGCAAGUAUUCGGAGGCACGUGGCGUCAAUGUAAAAAUAAAUAAAAUCAUAUAUUACAUAAAAUUAACUAGAAAGAAUUAUUUCAAUGGUAUUAGAAAAGCGUUCUUACAAUUGAUUGUGUUUGGCAGCUCUUCAGAAAACAGCUUCUAGUGGAACUCGAUACGAUGACAAAAAAGAUGGAGAAUAUAGUGAAGAAAGUUUAAACUGCACACUAGAAAAUGUUUUAAUGAAUCUGUAACUGCAGCCACUAUGAAUCUUUUUCCUGAGAAAUCCAGGAAACGGUAUUUGAAGGAAUAUAAUUCUUUUAUGGAAUGACGUACUGAAAAAGACAUAAACAGUUUCACAGAAAGAGUGUUACUAGCUUUCUUGGAAACUUAUUCCAUUCCAUUCAUUUCCUUGAUACUUGGGGUUACCCAAUAAUUGCUUUAAUCAAGGAUUGAAAAGUACCAAAGCAAAUAUUUUUCGUUUUGAUUUUGAAAAAAGGUUCAAGAGAAGUGUGCAAACCAAUGACAAUGGUGUCAUCCAACUAGUAAGUAUGGCCACAUCCCCAAUAUAUUUAUUAUCUUGUUGGAUUUAAAUGUAAAGUAAAUAAUUUAUUAAAGCAUGCAUCUUGAAAUUGAGA